rnacentral:rRNA from 1 species
UACGUAGGGUGCAAGCGUUGUCCGGAUUUAUUGGGCGUAAAGAGCUCGUAGGCGGUUCGUCGCGUCGGCUGUGAAAUCCCGGAGCUCAACUCCGGGUCUGCAGUCGAUACGGGCGGACUCGAGUUCGGCAGGGGAGACUGGAAUUCCUGGUGUAGCGGUGAAAUGCGCAGAUAUCAGGAGGAACACCGGUGGCGAAGGCGGGUCUCUGGGCCGAUACUGACGCUGAGGAGCGAAAGCGUGGGGAGCGAACAGG